rnacentral:rRNA from 1 species
GAUGAACGCUGGCGGCGUGCCUAAUACAUGCAAGUCGAGCGAACAGACGAGGAGCUUGCUCCUCUGACGUUAGCGGCGGACGGGUGAGUAACACGUGGAUAACCUACCUAUAAGACUGGGAUAACUUCGGGAAACCGGAGCUAAUACCGGAUAAUAUAUUGAACCGCAUGGUUCAAUGGUGAAAGACGGUUUUGCUGUCACUUAUAGCUGGAUCCGCGCCGGAUUAGCUAGUUGGUAAGGUAACGGCUUACCAAGGCAACGAUGCGUAGCCGACCUGAGAGGGUGAUCGGCCACACUGGAGCUGAGACACGGUCCAGACUCCUACGGGAGGCAGCAGUAGGGUAUCUUCCGCAAUGGUCGAAAGCUUGACGGAGCAACGCCGCGUGAGUGAUGAAGGUCUUCGGAUCGUAAAACUCUGUUAUUAGGGAAGAACAAAUGUGUAAGUAACUAUGCACGUCUUGACGGUACCUAAUCAGAAAGCCACGGCUAACUACGUG